rnacentral:lncRNA from 1 species
AUGCCACAUGUCUACACAACACAGCACGACCAAGCUCUUCUGUCGAAAAAAAUUGCGGUCAGAAGAGUUAGGUCAGACUUUAGCGCUUACAAGACAGCACAAAAACCUCCUCUUGAGGAUUAUCACUGCCACUCUGUAAUAGCGGUUCCAAAAGCCUAUUUAAGCUCACCUUUCGACACCAAACAGCCGUCUAAAUUUCAUCCAGCACUCUAUUACACAUCACCAGAGGAAGAUGUCUCCCCUGAAUGCGUCUCACCGUCAGCACUUCUGGUACCUCCAUCGUAUCCUGAAGCAUCAACGUCCAUCCAGUCGUUCAAUUUUGAAGAACCACCUUCAGUGAAGCUUUUGUCACAGCAAAGGCUCAAUGAAGCGUUAGGAGCGGUAGUUUCAACACAUAGCUUCUCGGACACGGUUUUAAUGACCAACGACAAAAAAAUCGUUGUGAAAAAUUCGAAUUGGAAAAAAGAUCACGUUUCACGACAGGACUCGCGAGAUGUGAAUAGUGCGGUUGAUGAAAAUGAAAGGCUAAUUAGCAAUCAAAGUCGACACACAAGUCUAUGAUAAUCACCUACCAAUUUUCAAUCAUAUCUGACACCUUUUCUGAUAAAUUAUGUUUUGGGUGCUAAUUUUAUGAUUUCCUAUAGCUGUGGGUAGAAUUUAUUCAUUCCUGCCUUGUUGCAUUUGUUGAUACAAAAUAUAAAAACAGCCUCGGAUUGAUACUAAAAUGUUUCAUUCAAAAGCAAAAGCCGACGCAAGACAGCAAUAAGUAGAAAGUAGGUAGGACUUUUAAUGGUCGGCGCAAGGAGUUUCUUGAAGAGUACGACAAAUGGAUUCUGCGGAUGAAGUAUUUUGGUCAAUCGUUCAUUUCAGCAUUAAAUGUAUACGAUCCAUUUCACUCUUUCAAACGCGGGGCAUGAAGAAGAGGAGCAAAGAUCUUUUGUUUUUGUUUUUUAAAAAAAAAUAUAAUUAAGUUGUAUUUCAUUCUGGUGAAUCGCACUUUGAAAUUCAACCUCAGCUACCGAAACUAAACCUCGUUUCGAAAUUAACACCGAACUUCUUCAGUUCGUAUAACAACGGGUUUCAGAUAUAGGAAUUGAAUUUUACUCCCUGUGCACAUUUACUUCAAUUGAAACAUUUAUUUCAAAAACCACUACAGUGCACUUUUGGCAAUGUGUCAGAAAUUUCAGAGUCAAUGCGCCUUCCCAUGGAGUUUUCACUUCCGCUCAAAAAUCAAUUUUGACCAAAAGUGAGGAUAUGCUCUUUUCGAAAUGAUUUGUCUCAAUUUCUCAACGAACAUGAAAAGGAGAGAAAAGAAAUAAAGGGAUAGAGAAUAGAAAGCCCCCCCCCCCCUGAAGAGUAGAAGAAGUAGUACUACGACAAAGAUCGGCAAAAAAUAUAAAUAAUAAAGACGUUGAAGAUAUCCACUUUAAAAUGAGUUAUUUGGAAUUGUUUAACCGUUUAAGUAAAAUGCUUGAGAAAUUUAGGGAAAAUUACUCUUUGUUGGGGGGCUCUUGUAAUUAUGGUUAGGUUCCCGAAUUGUUGAACUAUUUGGUUACGUUUCACAAGCAUAGGAUUAGAGAGCACAGACCUACGAAAUCAAUUUGAAGAAUUUUUUUUUAAUUUUGUAAAUCCUAGUAACUGUGGAAUUAUCAUACGGGAGGUUUUAAUUAACUGACUUUUAGUAGGUAAUCCUUGUCGUAUCGAAUUAUUCAGCCUCGUUGCUUUAAAUCCACUCAAAGUAAGAAUAAUGCAAUUCGCACGAAUUUCAUAUCAUAAAACAUGUUCAGUUUUCUAUUAUUUAACUAAUUCCAGAGCUCAUUUCCUUUUAAUGUGUUCUUAUUUAGGCUCUUGGAGCUAUUUCUGCGUGACCAACGGUGAUAAGCCCAUUUAUGGGGUGAGGAACACACUGCAGCGGGAACAAUUGGAACAUGUCUUAUUGUCAUUGCCUGACUGAACAUGUCAUUGCCUUAUUGUUACAGUGGUAGCAUGUGUAUGGGAUGGGGGAGGGGGGACUCCUCCCUUUAAAGUUUUAGAGGCUCUUACUUGUCCUCUUUCCUCUAAUUUUGUGCUCUUGCUUGAAAUAUAAACGACAGUGUUGGUAUCCAAUGCUAAAAUCUGGUGCUGCGUCUCGUAAAUAAUUCUUUUUGAAUGUUUGACAAGGUGACAUAAAUAUUUUCCCUAUUAUUAAGGCCUGAUCCGAGAAUGAUAACGAGAUUUCUUUCCUUCGGAAUUUAAAGGAAAAAGGAGAGAAAGUGAUAUUUUACCUCGAGGACAGCAAAUACCUAAUUGCGUUCUAAGGAUACUGGUAUUUCAAACUUUUCCCGAGGAAAGGCCCGUGUCUCAUUUUUUUAAAAAUUCCCCUUCCCCCGAAGUUUCAUUCCACACGCCGCCACCGACUUGUUAUGAAACUGAAUCUAGAUCUCCGCCUCUGCAUAUUUAAAGUCGAUAACUAUUAUAAAAACAAAUUAUACAGAACACAUCGACCAAAAUAAAGAAAGAGAAUGAAUAUGGAUCAUAUUAUAAGAGCGAAGAAGGGAAAAGAAUAACAUGAACAGAUGUUAACUUUGUAUGUCAAUUUUCUUCUUCAUUUUAUUUCCUUUAUUCACUUCUUAGGUUCAUUUCUUUCUUCAUUUUUAGAUAUUUUUUUGGUAAAAUAUUUGCCUUGCAUUUCUGUCCUACAAAACCAAAGUAAUCAUUAAUGUGAAAAUGUAAAAUGUAGAAUUGUAUGACGCUAUAUUUUAAACUAUUUAAGAUUUCUUCCGUAGAUUUCUAUGAAUUCUCUCCGAUGCAUAUUAACUCUUGUGAUUUCUUUAGUUCCUAACAUCUGUCAGCAAUGAUGACCUUCGCAAGAUGGCAACAAUAGGUAUGUUUGUAUAUUUAAAUUUAAGUUGAAUAAUUGAUUUUUAUCGAUUACAUAAUUAUAAUGCAGUAGGUUCAUGAUGGGUUCAUGAGGGAAUUUAUUGUUGCCAGCUUGCGCGAAUCGUGCCUGGCAGUAAUCUGUCAGUCAUUUUGAUCUGUUGAAACGAAAUCAUAUAUUUUAUUGCAAAUAGGCAUGUAUAUUGUAGGCAUUCAAUUAUUUUCAACACUAAAUGAUAGCAAACUGAUGGCGUAGUGUAUCUUUUAAGCAAACAAAGUUUAUACUGCUCUUCCAUUAAUUUGCAUCAGUAGUCAAUUAAUUAAAUUUUUUAUACGCAUAGAGUCUUGAAUUUGAUUAUUGUAAUACUGUUUUUAAGCAAUUUUAGAUAAGUUUGCCCAAAAUGCAGCACAUUUUCUGUCUACAUCGAAAUCCAAAUGAGGUCCGUUUGAAAAACGAAACAACUCGUAGACCAACGGGGUUUACCCCCUGGCCGCUAGGUAGGCAAUAUAACCUCCGGAGGGCGGUUUGCAGCCAUUUUCAAGAAACCGGGAAAUUCACACUUUCAAAGCAAGUGUUUUUUCCUUCUUUUUUUAAAAGAAACAAAUUCUGAACGAUUUUGUAUAAUUUCAACUGGGCAAAUCAUUCACCGAGAGGCACUCAUUCUUGAAUAUGUAAUAAAAGAGUUUAAAUUAUUCGUACUUUAUGACUUAGGUCGUUGCAUCUCUACAUACAUAGUUGAAUGUAUGUAACUUACCUAUAUGAAUACAUGGUAGAUCGCGGUAAUAUUAUUGAACGUGUUCAUGCUGAAAAGAACAUUGUGAAAAUGAAUAAAAUCCAAAAGAUUUAAUGCACGUAAAUCUUAUGCACAUAUAGUUCACUUUGACUUAUUGAUUCCUCACAUAUUUUGUUCAUUUUGGCAAGAAAACGUCCAAAUUUUGAUACUUAGGUAUACCUCCAUGCCCUUCGCUACCUCCCUGCUGGGCAUCCACUCUCAAGCUUUUCCUACGCACGUCCAUUUCUGCCGUGCUAAGGAAGAACGCCGUAUGAGCAUUUAAGAGUUGCCCGAAUUUCCAUCGACAAAAUGUUUAUUUUUCUGGAGAGUUACGCAUUUUUUUCCUUAAAUUUUUCAGAAUCUUUAGGUAAACUGCGAACUAAAUUAUCAUAAAAAUUUGUAGGAAAAUAUUCAUAAAUUUACCAGGAAUUUCGCGUUUUAUCAAAGGAAAUUUGGCAACGCCUGAUUGUUCAUACGGCGUUUUUUCUUAGCACGGUAGAUUUGACGUAUCGACCAGAGGCAGCCUAACAACAUUCCACGUUGCAUGAUCUCCUCUCAUGUUUCAUUUUUUAUACAGAGACUUAGAUAUCAUAACGUCUGAGAACUUUCUGUGCUAUACCCUAAAUUACAAACAAUACCUGUACUCACGAAACAAGUCAGAGUCCUCUUAGCUUCCUGAGGAGGAUUAUAACACGAGAAGAAAUGAGGCAACUUAUGAAAAUAGGCUGAUUUUAGGUGAAUCCGUUCAGAUGUUAGGUCCUUUUCGACGCUAAUUGUAAGUCGUAACCAAACUGAACCAAUGUCUUGAACUGCAACUGAACUGACCGUGCUCUGCUGGCCAGUCACGUGUCCCGCCUAGUUGCCAGAUUUUGGCUGAUAAUCAGGAUUGUUCCCGUAAGACUCAAUGUAAACAAAUUUUGAUUUUUCAGCACAAUUUGGCAACCAUGCCCACUCUUCGAUUGCACUUCUCCCGCCGUGCUCGAAAGAGCGGAGCAUCAUAGGUGCUUUAAAUUUUAAACCAAAUUUGUUAUUUCACUUUGUUACGAUAUUGUGAUAACUCCAGGAUGAGUUUGUAGUCCGAUAAAAUAAAUACUAAUGAUAAGUAGUAUACUUUUUCUUUCUCUGAUGUAAAUAAAAUGUAUCUAUACGUAGAAAUCACGGGAGAUUGGUAACUGGAAGCCCUUCAAUUUGAGGUAGAUGCUCCGACUUCAUGUCGGUGCAACCUUUUUGCCAUUUCCACAAAAAUCGUCUGAUUUUCAAAAACUUAUGGUAAUUGGAAGGCUUAAGAUAACCAACAAGUUCGCUUAAACCCCUAAUUUGCUCCUGAAUGCGAGGCGUAUGUAUACUUGCACAAAUCGCUCAUUAAGUGCUCUCUGGCGCUCUGCGACACUCAAACGCCGCUUGGAGCCGUAUUUCCAAAGAUCUUGGGGCUACUGGCAUCUCUAAAUUUCUUCAUUGAAACCUUUCAGCCAUUUCAUUAAGCCGAGCUAGAAAUUGUGAUGAUUUUUUACCCUCAAUUUUAAGUAAAGCUAUAAAACAUGCCAGGCUCGAAUAAUAUGAGGUGUCAAUAAUGUGGGGAAUUCCUGCUUCAAUCUUACCUCAUACACCAUACAGAGAAAUCAAUUGGAAAAUGCAACGAGUGUUCUCAUGGCCUGUAGAUUCAACUCUCGCUUAUUAAAAAAGGAAAGGAGGAAGAAAGACGGACAGAAAAUAACAAUGUGAGAGUUAAAAUUUUAACUCUCCAAUGAUAACUCUCUUUUGAGCCCAAUAUCUUCUCAAACUGAAUUCUCCUGUGCCUAUUGUUCUUCGUAGUUUUUUCAGUCUUUAUUCGACUUUUAGAAAUUUAGCUUUAGAGUUUUCUUUUGACAAUCCUUUUUCGAAUUUUUUGCCUUUUUUCUAUUGCCUUUGACCAAAAUAAAAAAAUUAUACAA